AGAGUUUGACCCUGGCUCAGGAUGAACGCUAGCGAAAUGCCUAACACAUGCAAGUCGAACGGAUCUUGCGUCGUAGCAAUACGUAGUAAGAUUAGUGGCAAACGAGCGAGUAACGCGUGCUUAACUUGCCCCGAAGAUGGGUAUAACUGCAGAGAUGUAGCUAAUUCCCAAUAUGCUCACGAUGGUGAAAUUCCAAUGUGAGGAAAGAUUUAUCGCUUCGGGAGAGUGGUGCGUCCUAUCAGGUAGUUGGUAAGGUAACGGCUUACCAAGCCUAUGACGGGUAACCGGUCUGAGAUGAUGUCCGGUCGCGAUGGGACUGAGAUACGGCCCUUACUCCUACGGGAGGCAGCAGUGGGGAAUCUUGCACAAUGGACGAAAGUCUGAUGCAGCAAUUUCGCGUGAAGGAUGAAGCAUUACGGUGUGUAAACUUCUUUUUUGGCAGAAGACGAAUGACGGUAUGUCAAGAAUAAGAGACGGCUAACUACGUGCCAGCAGCCGCGGUAAUACGUAGGUCUCAAGCGUUGUCCGGAUUUACUGGGCGUAAAGUGUCCGUAGUCUGAAUUGUAAGUCUGUUUUCAAAUCCUACGACUCAAUCGUAGAAAGGGAGUGGAUACUGCAAUUCUGGAAGUAUCUGGGGGUUAGUGGAAUUUCCGGUGGAGCGGUGAAAUGCGUUGAUAUCGGAAGGAACGCCGAAAGCGAAAGCAGCUAACUACAGAAUACUUGACGAUGAGGGACGACAGUUCGGGUAGCAAACAGGAUUAGAUACCCUGGUAGUCCGAACCGUAAAUUAUGCUUGCUAGAUGUUUUUGUCAAUUUAUUGGCAGGAGUGUCGUAAUCUAACGAGUUAAGCAAGUCGCCUGGGUAGUAUAUUCGCAAGAAUGAAACUCAAAGGGAUAGGCGGGGGAACACACAAGCAGUGGAUUAUCUAGAUUAAUUGGAUAAUAAGCCAAGAAUCUUACCUAGGAUUGACAUGUAUUGUGUCUGCGGUGAAAGUCGCAUAUCCGUAGCAAUACGGAGCUUUACACAGAUGGUGCAUGGUCGUCGUCAGCUCGUGCCGCAAGGUGUCUAGUUAAGUCUGGAAACGAGCGCAACCCUCAUGCUUAGUUAGUAUGUCUAAGCAGAC
rnacentral:rRNA from 1 species